rnacentral:rRNA from 1 species
CGUAGAUGAAUGCAGUCGACGGUGAAGCGAGUGCUUGCACUCGUGGAUCAGUGGCGAACGGGUGAGUAACACGUGAGUAACCUGCCCUCCACUCUGGGAUAAGCGCUGGAAACGGCGUCUAAUACUGGAUACGACCAACCUUCGCAUGGGGUGUUGGUGGAAAGAUUUAUCGGUGGUGGAUGGACUCGCGUCCUAUCAGCUUGUUGGUGGGGUAAUGGCCUACCAAGGCGACGACGGGUAGCCGGCCUGAGAGGGCGACCGGCCACACUGGGACUGAGACACGGCCCAGACUCCUACGGGAGGCAGCAGUGGGGAAUAUUGCACAAUGGGCGAAAGCCUGAUGCAGCGACGCCGCGUGAGGGAUGACGGCCUUCGGGUUGUAAACCUCUUUCAGCAGGGAAGAAGCUUUUGUGACGGUACCUGCAGAAGAAGCACCGGCUAACUACGUGCCAGCAGCCGCGGUAAUACGUAGGGUGCGAGCGUUGUCCGGAAUUAUUGGGCGUAAAGAGCUUGUAGGCGGUUUGUCGCGUCUGCUGUGAAAAUCUAGGGCUUAACCCUGGACGUGCAGUGGGUACGGGCAGACUAGAGUAUGGUAGGGGAGACUGGAAUUCCUGGUGUAGCGGUGGAAUGCGCAGAUAUCAGGAGGAACACCGAUGGCGAAGGCAGGUCUCUGGGCCAUUACUGACGCUGAGAAGCGAAAGCAUGGGGAGCGAACAGGAUUAGAUACCCUGGUAGUCCAUGCCGUAAACGUUGGGCGCUAGGCGUGGGUCUCAUUCCACGAGAUCCGUGUCGCAGCUAACGCAUUAAGCGCCCCGCCUGGGGAGUACGGCCGCAAGGCUAAAACUCAAAGGAAUUGACGGGGGCCCGCACAAGCGGCGGAGCAUGCUGAUUAAUUCGAUGCAACGCGAAGAACCUUACCAAGGCUUGACAUGCACCGGAUCGCCUCAGAGAUGGGGUUUCCCUUUGGGCUGGUGCACAGGUGGUGCAUGGGUUGUCGUCAGCUCGUGUCGUGAGAUGUUGGGGUUAAGUCCCGCACGAGCGCACCCUCGUUCUAUGUGCCAGCACGUAAUGUGGGGACUCAUAGAGACUGCCGGGUCACUCGGAGAAGGGUGGGGGAUGACGUCCAAUCAUCC